ACAAGGUGCAAAAGUGAGUCCUCAAAAGAGGGAAUACGUGUAGCAAUAUGGGGAAUAAUAUAUAAAAUAAGGCAUAGUGCAAAUGACACUUUCCAACUCCACUUGUUGAAAAAUCAGCUUUCAAGAACUAAACAAACCAAGAAAAAGAAGAGUUGAAAGAGAAGGAGGUCACGGCUAGAGUGGAGAAAAAAAAAAAUCAGUUUUGUGAUUUAAUAAAAUUCUAAGGAGAAGACAAGGAGAGGGAGGUGGAGAAGCAAGAAUAAGUAUAAGAAUUUAAGACACAAAUUGGAGCCAAGUAUUCAAGGUAAGAAUUGGUUAUUUCUUUUACAUUUAUAAUGAGUUUGGAUACAUUAUGAACAUGUAUAGAUGAUGAAUUGAAUGUAUAUAAUUUUUUUUGCAUGUCGGUAUUGGAUUGUUGUUGUUGAAGUUGAAGUGAGCCGUGAGUGAUAGGUUUAGAUGGAAUCAUGCUUAAUCUUCUUGUACAUGUAUUGGGAGUAAAUUGAAUGUGUUGUGGUGUGGAUAAAUGGAUAAAAAAAAAUCAUGAAGUUGUCGUAGUUGUGUUGAAGCCGUGUAGGGGGCUGUUUUGAGGCUAGUUGUGCGUUUGACGUAAAUUGUAUAUUUUAUGAAAAUCAUAUCGUUAUAUUGUGGAUUGUGAUACAAAACAUGACUUAAAAAUAAGGAAAGCAACGAGAGGGCUGCUCACAGUUUAGGGGACUGGUUUCGGCCAGCUUUGGGAAAAUUUUUGGAUUGUUGGAAAAAAAUUAUGUGAAUGGUUUAGAAGUCCUCUAAUGUUGUUAGUAUGGAUUUGGGUUAAUAAUCGAAUGUACGAACGAUAUUGUGGCUUGAAAGUAAGCCGUUGAAACGAAUAUUUGGAAAGUUGUUGAAAGAUGUAAAAGAGAGCUAUUAAUGUUGUUUUGCCUUUCGAAUUGAUUAUUGAUGUUGCUAGGUUGGUUAUUGUGGUUGUUGUUGAUUUUGAGCGAGAUAAAUUCUCGGGAUGGCCUAUUUAUAGGGGAAGUGCUGCCGAAUUUUCUGUAGAAUUUAAUGAUUAGUUGGAAAGAAUGGCUCAAGUGUCCUUAACUAAUGUUUGGUAUUCGUUGGCGUAUUUGUAGACCUUGGGGAGCCCGAGGCGUAGAUUGGAAAUUUACUUUAGAUUGGCUAUUUUGGAAGUGCGUAAGAGGUACAGACGCACAGCCUGGUGAUCCACCUGUUUAGGACACCCUUUCUGCUAUUCGGAGUGCUCCUCUCUUUCCGGAGCUUAUACUUUUGGUAUAUAUAUUUUUAUUAGUGCAUUUGUAUAUAUUCGUUCAUGGGUACGGCGGGGGCCCUGUCCCGUCAUAUGAUUCUGUCGGUCUGUUUAGAGGUCUGUGGACAUGUUUGUGGGUUAGGGUCUU